UUUUUUCCCGUAAGACAUAAACUAAAAUUGGAUCAAUACAGAGAAGAUUAGCAUGGCCUCGGUGAAAGGAUGA
ensembl:snRNA U6 U6 spliceosomal RNA